GUCUCCAGCCAUAGCACCUUGAACAUGUCUGUUCUCAGAAGCUAAGCUGAGUUGGGCCUGGUCAGUACUGGAUGGGAGACCACUUGAAAAUACAGGGUGCUGUAUGCU
rnacentral:rRNA from 1 species